rnacentral:misc_RNA from 1 species
CUGCGAGUUCGCGGGAGAGUAAGUUAUUGCCAGGGUUUUUAUUUUAUACUUUAAACAUUGAUUUUAUUUUUUAUGUUUUUAGAUGUUCAUGUUUUUGAAUGUUUUAUUUAAAUAAUAUAAAAAAUAAAAUAUAUAUUGACAUGGAUUAAACAAAGAUAUAUAUUAUUCUAUGUUGUAUAAACAAAUUGGCAAAAUAGAGAUGGAAGAUAAAAAUAUGGUCAAAGUAAUAAGAGUCUAUGGUGAAUGCCUAGGA